GACGAACGCUGGCGGCGUGCUUAACACAUGCAAGUCGAACGGAAAGGCCCUGCUUUUGUGGGGUGCUCGAGUGGCGAACGGGUGAGUAACACGUGAGUAACCUGCCCUUGACUUUGGGAUAACUUCAGGAAACUGGGGCUAAUACCGGAUAGGAGCUCCUGCUGCAUGGGGGGGGUUGGAAAGUUUCGGCGGUUGGGGAUGGACUCGCGGCUUAUCAGCUUGUUGGUGGGGUAGUGGCUUACCAAGGCUUUGACGGGUAGCCGGCCUGAGAGGGUGACCGGCCACAUUGGGCCUGAGAUACGGCCCAGACUCCUACGGGCGGCAGCAGUGGGGAAUAUUGCACAAUGGGCGGAAGCCUGAUGCAGCAACGCCGCGUGCGGGAUGCCGGCCUUCGGGUUGUAAACCGCUUUCGCCUGUGACGAAGCGUGAGUGACGGUAAUGGGUAAAGAAGCACCGGCUAACUACGUG
rnacentral:rRNA from 1 species